rnacentral:rRNA from 1 species
AUUGAACGCUGGCGGCAUGCCUUACACAUGCAAGUCGAACGGCAGCACGGGAGCAAUCCUGGUGGCGAGUGGCGAACGGGUGAGUAAUAUAUCGGAACGUGCCCAGUCGUGGGGGAUGACGCAGCGAAAGCUGUGCUAAUACCGCAUACGAUCUAUGGAUGAAAGCGGGGGACCGUAAGGCCUCGCGCGAUUGGAGCGGCCGAUAUCAGAUUAGCUAGUUGGUGGGGUAAAGGCCCACCAAGGCGACGAUCUGUAGCUGGUCUGAGAGGACGACCAGCCACACUGGAACUGAGACACGGUCCAGACUCCUACGGGAGGCAGCAGUGGGGAAUUUUGGACAAUGGGCGCAAGCCUGAUCCAGCAAUGCCGCGUGCAGGAUGAAGGCCUUCGGGUUGUAAACUGCUUUUGUACGGAGCGAAACGGUUCUCUUUAAUACAGGGGGCUAAUGACGGUACCGUAAGAAUAAGCACCGGCUAACUACGUGCCAGCCGCCGCGGUAA